rnacentral:rRNA from 1 species
AGCAGCCGCGGUAAUUCCAGCUCCAAUAGCGUAUAUUAAAGUUGUUGCAGUUAAAAAAGCUCGUAGUUGAAUUUCGGGAUCAAUAUGCCGGUCAUGCCUUGGUAUGCACUGGUAUCUUUGAUUUCUCCCUUCUGACGAACUUUGAUGUCAUUAAUUUGGUGUCAUAGGGAAUCAGGACUGUUACUUUAGAAAAAUU